UUUCACUCCUAUCACCCAGGCUGGAGUGCAGUGGUGUGAUCACAGCUCACUGCAGCCUCAACCUCCCAGGCUCAGGUGAUUUUCCCACCUCUGCCUCCCAAGAAGCUGGGAUAACAGGUGCGCACCACCAUACCCAGCUAAUUUUUUAUAUUUUUAGUAGAAACAGGGUUUUUAUAUUUUUAGUAGAAACAAGUUUCUAUAUUUUUAACAGAAACAGGGUUUUCCAUAUUGCCCAGGCAUCUUGAACUUCUAGCCUCAAGCAAUCCUCCUGCCUUGGCCUCCCAAAGUGCUAGGAUUAUAGGCAUGAGCCACCACGCCUGGCCCUUAAUUAUAUUUCAAGUGUGAAUUAUAACCACAUUGAAGGUGGGAGAAGAAAGAAAUAACGAAUCCAAGUAACUCAUGAACAUAGUAUUUAACCAUGUACCCUCAGGCUGGUGGAAGGAACUACAGGGCUCUCGCUGAGGAAGAAAGGAUAUGCAAACAUGGAAUGGAGAAAGCUCUGACCACGGAAAGGGCCAAGAAGCAAAGAUGCUCUGCCAGCAAUGAGCACAUCUAGUGCCCAGAUCUUGGUCUCCAAUACCAUUUCCCACUAAAAGGAACCAGGACUCCACAAAGAAGUGGCUGAUUCCAGGACUGGUGCAGAAUAGGUACAUGACAAGCCUGAAACAUCUUCCUAUGCCAGAGAGUAAGGAAAUGCUCCAAAAAUAAUAAAGGAUGGGGUGUGUCACAGAAUAGGGAGGCCAUCUAAAGGGGCUCCUGCUGGCCCAACCUGGAACAGUUUGAGCACCAAAAUAACUAUAAAAAUAGAUAAUAAAUCAUUGAAAAGACAGAAACUUAUGAAUCCAUACCAAUAAUAGAUAUAUAUUUAGACUAGAUAGGUGAUUAGAUAGAUAGAUAGAUAGAUAGAUAGAUAGAUAGAUAGAUAAGAUAGAUAGAUGAUAAAUAGGUAAGACAUAGGUAGCUAGAUAGCCAGAUGGAUAGAGAGAUAGAAAAAAAAGAAAGAAAGAAAGAAAGAAAGAGAGAAAGAAGAAAAGAAAAGAGA
rnacentral:lncRNA from 10 species